UACGUAGGGUGCGAGCGUUGUCCGGAAUUAUUGGGCGUAAAGAGCUCGUAGGCGGUCUGUCGCGUCGAAUGUGAAAACCCGGGGCUCAACUCCGGGCUUGCAUUCGAUACGGGCAGGCUAGAGUUCGGUAGGGGAGUCUGGAAUUCCUGGUGUAGCGGUGAAAUGCGCAGAUAUCAGGAGGAACACCGGUGGCGAAGGCGGGUCUCUGGGCCGAUACUGACGCUGAGGAGCGAAAGUGUGGGGAGCGAACAGG
rnacentral:rRNA from 1 species